rnacentral:rRNA from 1 species
CUACGGGGGGCUGCAGUGGGGAAUAUUGGGCAAUGGGCGCAAGCCUGACCCAGCAACGCCGCGUGAGGGAAGAAGGUUUUCGGAUUGUAAACCUCCGUCCUUGGGGACGAAGAAGUGACGGUACCCAAGGAGGAAGCUCCGGCUAACUACGUGCCAGCAGCCGCGGUAAUACGUAGGGAGCAAGCGUUGUCCGGAAUUACUGGGCGUAAAGGGUGCGUAGGCGGCAUAUUAAGUCAGGUGUGAAAUACUCGGGCUCAACCCGGGGGCUGCAUUUGAAACUGAUAUGCUUGAGUGUGAGAGAGGAAAGUGGAAUUCCUAGUGUAGCGGUGGAAUGCGUAGAUAUUAGGAGGAACACCAGUGGCGAAGGCGACUUUCUGGCUCAUAACUGACGCUGAGGCACGAAAGCGUGGGGAGCAAACAGGAUUAGAUACCCUAGUAGUC